GGAAAUAAAUUGAAUGAUGAACUUCUAAUUCAUCACACUAUGAUAAAAUCAUAUUAUUUCU
rnacentral:tRNA from 1 species